rnacentral:rRNA from 1 species
AUUGAACGCUGGCGGCAUGCUUUACACAUGCAAGUCGAACGGCAGCACGGGCUUCGGCCUGGUGGCGAGUGGCGAACGGGUGAGUAAUGCAUCGGAACGUGCCCAUUUGUGGGGGAUAACUACGCGAAAGCGUGGCUAAUACCGCAUACGCCCUGAGGGGGAAAGCGGGGGAUUCUUCGGAACCUCGCGCAAUUGGAGCGGCCGAUGUCAGAUUAGCUUGUUGGUGAGGUAAAGGCUCACCAAGGCGACGAUCUGUAGCGGGUCUGAGAGGAUGAUCCGACCACACUGGGACUGAGACACGGCCCAGACUCCUACGGGAGGCAGCAGUGGGGAAUUUUGGACAAUGGGGGCAACCCUGAUCCAGCCAUGCCGCGUGAGUGAAGAAGGCCUCGGUUGUAAG